GCCGGCGCAGAGACGCGGCUGCUGGACUGAGAAGAUACCCCGGUGCUCAUCGCUGGCAGCUUGGGGUGUGGCUGCCCUUGACGAGGACGCGUCCCUUCCGGUCCAGGGACCCUGCGAGGAGCGCACCCGCCCGGAUCUCCAUGCGGGAACUCACUGGGUCCCUCUGGCGUCGUGUGGAGCCCCCACCCAGGGCAUCGGCCACCGCUCUCUCGGCUCCCUGGUUUCGCAGGGACAAGGGCGAAGUGCGCGAGGACCAGCGCCGUGCGAAUCGAGGUGAAGGAGACCUCGGCCCUGCACCCGCGGCUGGCGAGGCUGUCAGGGCCCCUCUUCUCGGCUUCGACACCGCUGCGGGCCCUUUGACAGGCCCAGGACCUAUAGACUGCUUGGGUGCCUGUUUGCCCUUGGAUCUCAAACCCACUAAUAAUCCCAUCUCUCACUGAGACCCCGGCUUCUGAGGGCGAGUGAGGUUACCAAGGGAGUCCUGCUGCAGCUAGAUACCCAAAGUUUCAUGUUACAAGCGGCCUGGCCCAGAGAGUGAAGGAGCUACCCUGAAGUGACAGAGCACGUAGCUUUAGCUCAGGGCUGUGGUCUGCUCUGGCACGGUAGAUUGCGUUUCCUGCGUGGCUGUAGCAGUUACCAGGCCUACAGAUCUGUGAAAUGAGAAGACCAAAACAGUGACCUCAGAUCGGUUCCACUUCUAACAAUUAUUUUAUUGCUGGGUAUGCACAGGGCUUAGAGAAGUGAAUAUAUCCAGUCUCUGCCAUUCAGCACCUGCUUGAGUUAGGCAGACAUGAUGAUGAUGAUGUUUGGGGAGCAGCAUUAUGUGCAGUCUCCGGCCAAGUACCGAGGGAUUCCGGGAUGAAAAAGAAGGAUCCUUGCCCUCAGCUCAUCAGGAGACUGCACAUCAGUGACAAGCCACAGGGUCCUUGGAGCCCAGCCAGCAGACGUCAGGCUCAGUGGGUCCAAGGACCACUCCUCUCCAUUGAGUGGGUCCGCAUAGAGCCAAGAUGAGUUUACAUCUGCCCUGGAGAGCCGUGGGCUAGAGGGUUGAUGGCACUUUGCUGUUGGUCUUGGUUUUCACCUGUUUCCUACUAAAACUAGACCUCAGCUCAAACUGCAGCCUGGCUGACUGGGGCUCUGAUCCUCCACCCUAGUUCUACCUGCCUCCCCAGCAGAGAUGCCCCCAUAUUUGUAUGCUUCCCUCAGCCUAGAUGACCUUCUGCCAUCCUCAGUUCUGGCUCCCACCUAAUGCUAAGAACAGCCUCCUCCCAGAAGCUACCUCCAAGAGAGCCUUCCGAGAGUAACACUGGCCUGAAUCUGAGUCAAGUGUAUGUAAAUAUUUUCAUCAAGAUGGGAAAACUGUCCAGUCAUUUUAUGUGUUGCCUCUGUGCAUGGGAGAGUGGAUGAAGACUUAGUAUCCGCUUUGACUUAAAGGAAAUGCAAAGGAUUUAUCCCUCAAAACAUACUUCACUUGAAAUGUUACCAUCUAGAGCACCACAUUUUGGGGUGAGACAGCCUGGUAGAAUAUGGACCUCCUGGGAGAUCAGGUGACCGCACAGGCCAUGGGAGGUCUCGCAAGGGUGACUCGAGGACUCAGAACAGGAUCUGCUUUCUUGGGAAAGUGCUUUCUCCUAUCUUGUGAAGAUUUCUUUUGCCUGCAGUUAAAGAGCCUGAAGUUUGUCAAGCUUUAUCCUAGAAGUCCAUUUGUUAGCACUGAGGGAAGAGAGGUUAAGGAAGCUCAGAAAUAAUACAGAAAAGAAAUAGGUGAAGCUUCUUAACCAAUGAAACAUGAGUCAUGCUGGUAAUUCUUCUACAGGAAGAAUGAAAGCCUGGUGAGGAAACAGGGCAUGAGGUCAGGGAGGCUUCUCUGAGAAGAACCCUCAGAGCAGAGCUCUGAGUGAGUGAGAGGCCAGCACUAGUUCUCAGGACCUGUUUGUGGGCAGUCAGGUGCUGAGGCAAGAAGGGCUGGGAAUGUGUGGUGAAUCUCAAGGUGCUUGGGAAGGGGCAGGGCAGCAGUGUGAGGGGAACCACGGGGGAUUUGAC
ensembl:lncRNA